rnacentral:rRNA from 1 species
CCGACUGCUAUUUGGGUGAGGAUAAGCCAUGCGAGUUGAAUGGGAUACCUAAAGUUCCCAUAGCAAACUGCUCAGUAACACAUGAUCAACUUGCCCUAUAGAGAAAAAUAACCUCGGGAAACUGAGGAUAAUGUUUCAUAGCUGAAUUGGCUUGGAAAAGUUUUUCAGUUAAAGGGAUAAAAAAAAUGGUUUUUAUCUGCUAUAGGAUAGGAUCGUGGUCGAUUAUGGUUGUUGGUGAGGUAAUGGCUCACCAAGCCGAUAAUCGAUAGGGGCCGUGAGAGCGGGAGCCCCGAGAUGGGUACUGAGACAACGACCCAGGCCUUACGAGGCGCAGCAGGCGCGAAACCUCCGCAAUACACGAAAGUGUGACGGGGUUACCCAAAGUGUUCAAUUUUGAACUGUGGUAGGUGAGUAAUGUUCCCUACUAGAAAGGAGAGGGCAAGGCUGGUGCCAGCCGCCGCGGUAAAACCAGCUCUUCAAGUGGUCGGGAUAAUUAUUGGGCUUAAAGUGUCCGUAGCCGGUUUAGUAAGUUCCUGGUAAAAUCGGGUAGCUUAACUAUCUAUAUGCUAGGAAUACUACUAUACUAGAGGGCGGGAGAGGUCUGAGGUACUACAGGGGUAGGGGUGAAAUCUUAUAAUCCUUGUAGGACCACCAGUGGCGAAGGCGUCAGACUGGAACGCGCCUGACGGUGAGGGACGAAAGCCAGGGGAGCGAACCGGAUUAGAUACCCGGGUAGUCCUGGCCGUAAACGAUGCAUACUAGGUGAUGGCACGGCCAUGAGCCGUGUCAGUGCCGUAGGGAAACCGUUAAGUGUGCCGCCUGGGAAGUACGGU